UGGGGAAUAUUGCACAAUGGGCGCAAGCCUGAUGCAGCCAUGCCGCGUGUAUGAAGAAGGCCUUCGGGUUGUAAAGUACUUUCAGUCGGGAGGAAGUUGUCAAGGUUAAUAACCUUGGCAAUUGACGUUACCGACAGAAGAAGCACCGGCUAACUCCGUGCCAGCAGCCGCGGUAAUACGGAGGGUGCAAGCGUUAAUCGGAAUUACUGGGCGUAAAGCGCACGCAGGCGGUUUGUUAAGUCAGAUGUGAAAUCCUCGGGCUCAACCUGGGAACUGCAUCUGAUACUGGCAAGCUUGAGUCUCGUAGAGGGGGGUAGAAUUCCAGGUGAAGCGGUGAAAUGCGUGGAGAUCUGGAGGAAUACCGGUGGCGAAGGCGGCCCCCUGGACGAAGACUGACGCUCAGGUGCGAAAGCGUGGGGAGCAAACAGG
rnacentral:rRNA from 1 species